ACAUAUUGUUUUACCAUCCUGAACACACCAAUCUCAUCUGAUUUCAGAAGCUAAGCAGCAUCAGGCCUAGUUAGUAUUGGACAGAAGAUGACCAAGUACCUCCCCUGCAAGGCUGGGCAGCAACCUCCC
rnacentral:rRNA from 1 species